GAUGUCUCCUUCUUCCUCCCUCCCUCCCAGGAGUUGCUCUCCAGUCACCUCUGCAAGCCUGUGUAUUACCUGUGUUUCUGAAAGGAAGAGUUGACAGAGUAUUUAAUUUUGAAUUUUGAAAAAAACAAGUUGUUUCACUUAAAAUCUGAUGGCCCUGCCCCUCAUCGCCCCCCUGCAAUUUCCCUACAUGUAUCUGCUAAAGGGGUUAUACUCAUGCCUUUCUGCUACCCAGCAUUUGUUUAGAUUAAAAUUAGAAUUACUAAAAUACCAUGGAGUUUCUUAUUCCUGCAAAAAUAUUUUUAACUGGACAAAAAAUGUAUUCCAGUCACAGUUGCAGCAAUAUCUUUCAGAUCCUGGCCUUGCUGUAGGUGUUCAUUGAGUUCAGCCACGCUUCAAGUAUUUUGUUCCACAGAAUCAUCACCUACAGUAUUUCUGAUUUUGGUGUACUUGUGGAUCCAGUAAAAUUAUGAGCUGACCUGCACACUGAAGUGUGGAGUUAGCUCCCAGGAACUGCAGCCCAUGAGUACUUGAGAAGGGCUCUCUGGCCAAGGGGAAGGGAUGACCAGUGGGGCUGAUCCUGGGUCUGCAGUGGAAGAGUGAGGAAGUAGAAAUUCAAUUUUGAGGCUGAGCAUUGUUUCCUGAAGGUCUGCUUCUGAAUUUUGGGAGGAUACACAACUUCUGCUGUCCUCACCGAGAAGUUGCUUGUGCUGCUGUUCUACAGUAGGUUUUAACUUCCAGUGCAUCACGAUGGUUUUCAAAGGAAGGAAUGGAUACCUCAUGACAAGUAUUGUUUUAAGCAUGUGGUACCUUACUGUCUACUUCUCAUCGGGAUCAUCUUGGAAACUCAGCAGAAAAGCUCAGUGUUUCUCGGGGAGGAGUGGGAAAGAACACAGGAGCAUCUCGGCCCCAGCGGGGAUCACCUGCUCUUUGUUCCGGGCAUUGUUCUCACAAAAGCUCCUUUGCACUGGGUUUUCCUCAUGCUUCUCCAUGCAGGAAAGUGUCCGUGGAGCAGCACAUCCUGGGUCAGAAAGGUGUAACCAUUUCCUCAUGACAGAAGGAAUCACAGGGGAAGUGAAACAAUGCAUGGCCUAAUCAAUAUUGGGAAAAUUACUCCUAACUGGCCCUGAUCAGCAUAACGUGUGGAACAGCCUGUGCUGUCAAAGAAGGGGAGUCACAUGUGGCGGCCUUCGAAGCCAAGCACAGUUCAUCUCCUGGAACCUGCAGCAGCUUUCCUUGGAGAAAGUGAAACAAAUACUCUGUUU